ACUCAAAUGAAUAGACGGGGACCCGCACAAGCGGUGGAUUAUGUGGAUUAAUUCGAUGCAACGCGAAAAACCUUACCUACCCUUGACAUGUCGCGAAGGCCUCUGAGAGGAGGCUGUGCCCGAAAGGGAACGCGAACACAGGUGCUGCAUGGCUGUCGUCAGCUCGUGUCGUGAGAUGUUGGGUUAAGUCCCGCAACGAGCGCAACCCUUGCCAUUAGUUGCCACUGGAAACGGGGCACUCUAAUGGGACUGCCGGUGACAAACCGGAGGAAGGUGGGGAUGACGUCAAGUCCUCAUGGCCCUUAUGGGUAGGGCUUCACACGUAAUACAAUGGCGCGUACAGAGGGUUGCGAAGGAGCGAUCUGGAGCCAAUCCCGCAAAGCGCGUCGUAGUCCGGAUUGCAGUCUGCAACUCGACUGCAUGAAGUCGGAAUCGCUAGUAAUCGCGGAUCAGCAUGUCGCGGUGAAUACGUUCCCGGGUCUUGCACACACCGCCCGU
rnacentral:rRNA from 1 species